CCUUUGGUAUACUGGCCGAUUCGUCACAAGUUUGUGCUAUAGGAAAAUAAUUUAAAACUUUGUUUACCUGUACUUCUAUGUCUUUUAUCAGCGACUUGACCCACUAAACGUUCCUAAGUUGACUGCGUCAGAACUUGCUGAGAAACAACGACAAGCAGAUGAGAAGAGGGAACAAGAAAUCCGAAGAAAAAAGAGUGCUUCAUUGAAAGCAUCAAGGCGACGGCUACAAAUUUUAGAGGCACAGACAUUUGAGCAGGAAUUUCAGCAGAAGGAAAAACAAGAAAAGAUUGAAGAGGCAUUGGAGUCCGCGGAAAAGACAAGAGACGCGAAAUUGAAGGAGCGACAAGAGAGACAGAAGAUCCGAGAACAGAGGGCAGAGCGGGCUAGAGAAAAGGUAUAACAGAAUAUUGCAAUCCACUGGCAAUUGUGACUAUAAAAUCAUUUCAUUUUCAGGAGGUCUUAUGUAACUUUGUAUACAUUUAUUAUCGAUUCCUUUUGCUAAUUUUUGUGGGUUUCAUAUUUUGAUGAACAAAAAAAUAAAGUCUAUAGGACUUGUGUACAUUUUCGAAAAAUAUUCCAAAUUAGCUUUUCAUGAAUGCAUAA